rnacentral:lncRNA from 1 species
AUUAAAAAGAAAGGAUAUUUUUUUAUAAAAAUUCAUUUAAUUACUGAUUUUAUAAGAAAAAAUUGGAUUAAUUUUCUCAAAAAGUUGACACAUAUUUUAGGAUCUCCGAAAAAUUUGACUUUGAAUGAUAUACUAAAUAAGUAAAUAUGGUUAAAAGUCUAAUAGGGAUGGCAAUUUUAACCGACCCCCCAGCUAUCUGAUCUAAUUGGAACUCGAGGCAGAUAUAGAUUCUAGAAAAAAAAUAUUGAAAAUGAAUUCGGAUCGAAUACGGAUAAUGACAUACUUCGAUCCUAAUUCGAUUUGAUAUAACCUUAAUAUAUAUUUUUUUUUCAAAAUUAUAAUGAUUUUAUAGUGUUUACAUGUAUCCAAUUCGAUCUGAUUCAACCAACUCCUCUUAUGCAUCCGAUCCGAUCUGAUCCGCAUCUCUACUUGAUCCCAUCUGACCCAAUCCGAGGUGGGUAUGGAGUGGAUAUGGGUAUACAAUUUUCAUUUCUAAGAC